rnacentral:misc_RNA from 1 species
GAAACACUGAUUGAUAAAGAGUUGAGGAUCCCGUGGAUGCAUCAACAAUUGACCAAAGUUACAACUGAAUAGGGCAAAGCAAACGAGGGACAGGCAGCGCAUCCGCUAAAGAAACUACUUGUCGUACGAUAAGGAGAAAAAAAAAAAAGAUCCCCUGUCCAGCUUUGAAGCGGCACGUCGUUACAAGGCAAAAUGACAUUUUUAUCCAAUAAUAUUCUUGCAUAAGUGAGAUUUGCAUAUUUUAUUCUCUGCGACUAAACCAACAAACCUUCCAAAAAUAACAAUCAGUACAAAUCCUCAGGCCUUCUCAGCUUCUCAUAUGAUUUUCUUGAAACCUGCCAAAAACUUGAAUUUAGUUUAGUGGAGAUUAAAAACAUACUAUUAUCGUAAAAUUUAUGUUAGUGCAUACCCGGUGAGAGGAUGGUGAGUAAUGCGCAGCUGGAGAAUUGGGAACAGAUUUUCCAGGGGAAGCUGAUAGAGUUGGUCUAGCCAAUGGAGAACAAACAUAUGGUGGAAUUGGAGAGUGCAGUAUGGGAGUAUGAUUGCAGGAGGGUAGUGGACUUUGAUGAUACGAAGAAACUGGGGAAGCCACAGGAGUCCUCCAUUGAAUAUGGGAAGCUGAUGCUGCUAUGGGAGACCUCUUUAAGGGAGAUCUUCGCCAAUCUAGCAUAUUAAUUUUUAUCUUGUUGUGAACAUCAACAUACUCAUCAGUCUCAUCCAGAAUUUCUUCCUGCAGCAGUUCCUCCAUAACGUCUUCCAGUGUUAUGAUGCCAAUGACUUCUUCAUCUAAAGCUGAAAGGGAUUCCAAAUCUUCAUUUGGAAGAUUUUGAUUUUGGCAUUCAUUUUUCUUUAAUUUUGGGUGCAAAAGAUCUGUUAGAUCUCUCGCAUUAUCCGGCAUUGGACUUUCAAUUUCUGUGUCACUGGAGUACACAGAUGGUGAAUGUAUACAGAUAUUCAAUUGUUCAUUCUGACCAGGCUGAUGAAUCAUCCCUGAACAUACUUUCAUAUCUGCUUUUCUUUGUUUUGAAUUUGGAUUAUUGUUCGUCUUGAAGAUGCUACCAUUGGUUUUUGUUUCUUCUGCAAUUUCCUUAACAUCGUCCUUACCCUUGACAACAA